rnacentral:rRNA from 1 species
AUUGAACGCUGGCGGCAGGCUUAACACAUGCAAGUCGAGCGGAGUGAUGGUGCUUGCACUAUCACUUAGCGGCGGACGGGUGAGUAAUGCUUAGGAAUCUGCCUAUUAGUGGGGGACAACAUCUCGAAAGGGAUGCUAAUACCGCAUACGUCCUACGGGAGAAAGCAGGGGAUCACUUGUGACCUUGCGCUAAUAGAUGAGCCUAAGUCGGAUUGGCUAGUUGGUGGGGUAAAGGCCUACCAAGGCGACGAUCUGUAGCGGGUCUGAGAGGAUGAGCCGCCACACUGGGACUGAGACACGGCCCAGACUCCUACGGGAGGCAGCAGUGGGGAAUAUUGGACAAUGGGGGGAACCCUGAUCCAGCCAUGCCGCGUGUGUGAAGAAGGCCUUAUGGUUGUAAAGCACUUUAAGCGAGGAGGAGGCUCUUUUGGUUAAUACCCAAGAUGAGUGGACGUUACUCUCAGAAUAAGCACCGGCUAACUCUGUGCCAGCAGCCGCCGUAA